rnacentral:rRNA from 1 species
GACGAACGCUGGCGGCGUGCUUAACACAUGCAAGUCGAACGGUGAACGAGGGAGCUUGCUCCCUCCGGAUCAGUGGCGAACGGGUGAGUAACACGUGAGCAAUCUGCCCCGAACUCUGGGAUAAGCGUUGGAAACGACGUCUAAUACCGGAUACGACGCGGGAGGGCAUCCUCUCCGCGUGGAAAGAACUUCGGUUCGGGCUGAGCUCGCGGCCUAUCAGCUUGUUGGUGAGGUAACGGCUCACCAAGGCGACGACGGGUAGCCGGCCUGAGAGGGUGACCGGCCACACUGGGACUGAGACACGGCCCAGACUCCUACGGGAGGCAGCAGUGGGGAAUAUUGCACAAUGGGCGCACGCCUGAUGCAGCAACGCCGCGUGAGGGACGACGGCCUUCGGGUUGUAAACCUCUUUUAGCAGGGAAGAAGCGAAAGUGACGGUACCUGCAGAAAAAGCACCGGCUAACUACGUG